rnacentral:snRNA from 1 species
GUGCUUGUUUCAGCAGCACAUAUACUAAAAUCAGAAUGAUAGAGAGAUUAGUAUAACCCCCGCACAAGGAUGACAUGCAAAUUCAUGAAGCCUUCCAUUAAAAA